GACGAACGCUGGCGGCGUGCUUAACACAUGCAAGUCGAACGGUAAGGCCCUUCGGGGUACACGAGUGGCGAACGGGUGAGUAACACGUGGGUGAUCUGCCCUGCACUUCGGGAUAAGCCUGGGAAACUGGGUCUAAUACCGGAUAGGACCACUGCCUGCAUGGGUGGUGGUGGAAAGCUUUUGCGGUGUGGGAUGGGCCCGCGGCCUAUCAGCUUGUUGGUGGGGGGAUGGCCUACCAAGGCGACGACGGGUAGCCGGCCUGAGAGGGUGACCGGCCACACUGGGAGUGAGAUACGGCCCAGACUGCUACGGGGGGCAGCAGUGGGGAAUAUUGCGCAAUGGGCGCAAGCCUGAUGCAGCGACGCCGCGUGAGUGAUGACGGCCUUCGGGUUGUAAACCUCUUUCAGCACCGACGAAGCGCAAGUGACGGUAGGUGCAGAAGAAGGACCGGCCAACUACGUGCCAGCCGCCGCGGUAA
rnacentral:rRNA from 1 species